UGAAAAUAAAUGCGUUUUUAUUCAUCGUCGUCGUCGUCGUCGUCAUCUUUCAUUUUAGACAUUGCUGUAGUCCUCCUCGCGCAUUCUUUCUUUUCUUAUUCAACCGCCAUUGAAAUCCCCCUAACCUUUGACCUCUUUACCACCUUCACCCUCCUUCUUAGCCCUAACCUUGUCAACAAACACUCUCUCUUCAACAACAACCACUCUCAUCUCACUUUCUCCCUUUAUCAUCACCAACCAACCAACAAACCAACCUUCCUCCUCUUCCUUUUCUCUUCCUCGAUUCUCCCCGUUUCAAGAUAAGACGGGGCUUUGUUAAAAAGAAGAGUUGGUGUGUUUGGGGGUCUUCAAAGGUUUACAGAUUGGAUAGUACAAGUGAUAUGCAGCAAAGAAUACAAAAUCUCAUUUCGGGCUUUUGAAAUAUGGGAUCUGUGUGUUGUGUUGCGGCAAGAGACAAGACUGUUGGGGUUGGAUCUGGUAGUGAAACGCAGCAUAGGAAUGUUCGUCACUCGCCGAGUUGGAGCUUUCGGUGGGAUCAUCCUGGGCGAGUGGUUGGUGAGGAAGUUUCCCUGAAUUCGAUUUCAGAUGGAGUAAGUAGAAAUGAUAGGCCAGAGUUCAAAUAUGAAUCCUCAUAUGCUUCAGAAGAGGGUAGUCCAUUGGAACAUUAUCGUAGACAGACAUGGAAAAACUCCUCAGUUUCUGAAGGAAGCACGACGAAUGUGAGGACUCCUACAUCAGGUCGUUCAAUUUCAAGAAAUGUUUCCACGGAUGUUAGUUUGGAACAGGUGAAGAAAGCCACAGAAUGUGCAACAGCUUCUACAUCUCCUGCAAAAGUAUCCCUUUCAAUCCCUUCAACUUCAUCUUUGUCAACAUCCCCUCUAUCAACCCACAGUCACAUUCCUUCCACCGGUCUGACCUCAUCGAGAUUGUCUCACUGUUCUCCCGGGCAUCGAUUGUUACGUCAAGUAUCUGGCAAUCGCAUCCCAGCAUACAAGUCACCAAGUAGCUACACAGUUUCAGAGGACAGGCGUGCAAUCCCUGGGAGCAUUGAUUCAUUACGGGGAUCACAUGGUGGGUCUUCUGACGGUUGGUCUAUGAAUGCUUUCUCUGAGCUCAUGGCAACUUCUCAUAGGGGAAGAUGGUCCUUUGGUAGUGAAUCCUUUGACUUUGCGCGUGAGAAGAUGGUUAGAUCCUGCAGCCUAUUCUCGCCUUCACCUUCUGCUGAUUCGCAAGCUUGCGGAAUUUGCUCAAUGUUGUUGGUGGAGAGAUCUUUAUGGACCAGCCAAAAGAUAAUUGCUAACAAUGAACUGUCUGUUGUUGCUGUACUAACAUGUGGACAUGUUUAUCAUGCUGAGUGUUUGGAGAGUAUGACUCCUGAAAUUAGCAAGUAUGAUCCAGCCUGCCCAAUAUGUUCAUUUGGUGAAAAGCAGACACUAAGGAUGUCUGAAAAGGCACUUAGAGGUGAAUUAGAGUCGAAAAUUAGAAAUAAGAGGUUAAGGAAUCGCAUUGCUGAUAGCGGUCUUGACAGCGAAUCUGCCAUGCUUGAUCAUUUUAUAAAUACUGGACAACAAGGGAAGUGUCCUAAGUUGUCUUCUAGCUCCAGUUUGAGAAGUUCCUCAGGGAGGGGUUUCUUGAGGCGUCACUUCUCCUUUGGCUCAAAGGGAGGGACCAAAGCCCUGCCAGAAAGUAACAACACAGCGAAGAGAAAAGGAUUUUUAUGGUCAAGAUCUACUAAGAUGUGACAUUUUCUAUAAUUUCUUAUGGGAGGUUCCACAAUUCACCUUUGAUAGUUAGGCUGGUACACAAAAUGAAGAAUGCAAGAUAGAAUUGACUAAGGGGAUACACUACACCAUCCCUAGGUUUGGAUAGUUGGAUAAUUCUUUAUGAAAUUUAUACAGGCUUAGUUUGUGGAGUCAACAACACUGUAUAUAAGAACGUAGGGUAAAAGAAGUAACAGUUCAGAUAAACAAGAUUGAAAGAAUUGAAUUGCAUCAUGACGCGUUAGAUUGGCGAUUCUCAUUCUUAUCUUGUACAGUUCGAUAUGUUUUGACGUGGACCAUUGUAUGCAUUCAUCAAACUUAUGUUAUGAAUUCUGAUAGACUACCUCUGAUUUCUUUUUUUUUACACAAGCAAGAUAUCAUUUUCUCUGACCACGGGUAGCUAUCGUUUGCCGCUGCAACCAACAAGGAAACAUCAGGUACGAUCAGUGGACUCCAAUCUUUUCUCAAUUACGGGCUUUUCUUGAUUUCUCAUUGGACUGUAAAAAUUAGAAUAUACAAUAUUGACUGACCAAUAGUUCAACCUGUGUUCCAACUUAAAUUUUCUUGUACUUUUAAGAGUAAACCACAUGUGGGUUACUCCAUCUCGAUUAGUCCUGUCUCUAGAAACUCCUUGUUCUUGCUUGGCAUGUAUGGUAAAAACUUGUGUUAAGUUCGAGAAUAUAGCUUCUUUCCCCCAGUUUGUUUUUGGCUUGUGCUGAGGCUCCUACUCCUACAAUUUGGCGAGAAAUGACCUAACCUUACAGAAGUUAGAAAAGCUAAAAUAGACAAGAUAGAUAUGGUUCUUAAAUAUGUUGGAUAUAGAUUGGUUUCAUCUCAAAAGCUGACACCUGUUCCAUAAAUUUCUUACGUGGCAACCCAAAAAGGAUGAUGUGUUAGGCUUAGACAGGUACUUAGCUUCUGCUUGUAUGAUUAUUUUGUCCAUUUUGUCUGGGUGUGGAAUGUGUGGAAUGUGUGGAAUGAGAAUAGAGAAUAGAGAAAAUGGCUGAUGUACGGGACGAGCGUGGCAACCAUCCGACUCACCGACGAGCACAAUCCGGUUGUGCUGACUGAUGAACAUGGCAACCCCAUGUGGCUCAGUGACGUCGAAACCAAGGUUGGCACGUCGCUUGGGUCACUAAUGUUUGGUGGUGAUGGUGAGGAUGGUGGCAAUGACUGCUUCUGAUGUUAAAGGUAGUUCAGCAGGUGGUUCAGGAGGUGGCUUAUGGCGACGGUGAGCAGCCGUUGCAGCCACAUGAGAAGGAUGAAGAUUGUGGCUCUAGUUCCCACGUCAGGCUCUGCUUCGGAAGAGGGGGAAGAGGAAGAAGAAAAGACCAACAUAGAAUAAAAAGAGAAAUUAAGGGGAGGAAGAUAUAAAGAGGAGUGCCUUCAGCUUCUCCCAUGACGACCACCACGACUGCCAAAAUGGUCUCUCCGAGUCCCGACCACCACGGCUAUGGAAGGAAAGAUCAACUCACCAUGGAGAAUCUGACCAUCAUAAUAAUUUGAAUUUUAAAUCUCUAUGUAGUAGUUUUUUGUUCAUGUUGUAUGAGAUAUGUUUUUUUUAGUUAUUCUAAUUUCAAACGUCUGUUUAGUCUCAAUAUUUUUAACAAAAAUAUUUAGGAGAAAAUAGUUUUGGGUCUCGUCUCUGAUUGAUUCUAAGGUUUGAAAAUGUAAAUAUUAACGAGUUGAUUUUUAUAUUAGCUGUUUAAUUAUUUUUCA